AUUGAACGCUGGCGGCAGGCCUAACACAUGCAAGUCGAGCGAGCGGCGGACGGGUGAGUAAUGUAUGGGGACUGCCCGAUAGAGGGGGUUAACUACUGGAAACGGUGGUUAAUACCGCAUACUAUCCGAUAACCCAUAUGUGAUUAGCUAGUAGGUGGGGUAAAGGCUCACCUAGGCGACGAUCUCUAGCUGGUCUGAGAGGAUGAUCAGCAACACUGGGACUGAGACACGGCCCAGACUCCUACGGAGGCAGCAGUAGGGAAUAUUGCGCAAUGGGCGAAAGCCUGACGGAGCCAUGCCGCGUGUAUGAAGAAGGCCUUAGGGGUGUAAAGCACUGUUAGCGGGGAAGCGGUACCCGAAGAAGAAGCACCGGCUAACUCCGUGCCAGCAGCCGCGGUAAUAC
rnacentral:rRNA from 1 species